AACUAUGAAGAAAUCCUCUGUGUGUUCUCCUUCAUCAUAAAGGCUGGUGAGAAUGAGAAGCCUAACUCAUCAUUAAUCCACAGGCAAAGUACUAUUCAAGCAGCUGUAGUGAAAGCUCUCGUACGCUGCCCUGGAAAUAACCCCAGCCUUGACGUGGUAAAAUGACCCUAGGUAAGGUCAGAAGAUCAGUUCUCAUUUUCAUUUAAGCUUCUGGUUUUUAAACUGUGUUUGGAAUUGUCUGUUGUGGUUUAGAUGAUUUCCUAAAACAGAUGGAUCCUCAUAAUGUGGAGGAGUGAAGUUCAGAGAGACUGAGGUGAAUUUGAAUGAUCUGUUUACACAGUGUAAGAAAUGGAAGCUCAUGGCUGGGAUUUUCAGGAGGGGCCUAAGGAAGCUGGGUGUCUCUGCCCUGAUGGCCUGAAUACUAACUGAAUAUGGCAUUUAAAUGAGCCUUAGGUCAAACCUCUUUCAAAGUCUUUGAAAAUCCUGCCUGUACUAGCCUACCGCGUGCAUUGGGGUCAACGUGCGUUGCAGAAUAUGUACUAGAAUUCAGUGAUUUUGUGUAUAA
rnacentral:lncRNA from 1 species